rnacentral:rRNA from 1 species
AUAGCGUAUAUUAAAGUUGUUGCAGUUAAAAAGCUCGUAGUUGAACUUUGGGCCUGGCCGAGCGGUCCGCCGAAAGGCGUCGUACUGUUUGGGUGGGCCUUUCUUCUUGGUGAAUCGGGGUGCCCUUAGUUGGGUGCGUCGGGGAACCAGGACUUUUACCUUGAGAAAAUUAGAGUGUUCAAAGCAGGCGUUUCGCCCGGAUACAUUAGCAUGGAAUAAUGAAAUAGGACGUGCGGUUCUAUUUUGUUGGUUUCUAGAGUCGCCGUAAUGAUUAAUAGGGACAGUUGGGGGCAUUAGUAUUCAGUCGCUAGAGGUGAAAUUCUUGGAUUGACUGAAGACUAACUACUG